AUGAGUUCUCCCGCAGAGGAAAUUAUUUUUUUGUGUCUAAUUUUUGUGAAAAUCCAGCAUAAAAAUUGAAAUUUCGAUAUUUGAUACACAGUAUAUAACUUGUAAGCUUAUCUUGAAAAGCUCAUGAAAACCACAGACUUUCAAAAUGGAUCCUGAGGAAGCCAAUAAAUUUAUCAAUGCUUUGGUUAAAAAUCUACAAGUAUUAUGCCACGGUCAUGUUAAUUUUAAUACCUCUAUUCAAGUCAUUGGUCAUCUGUAUUUAAACGUCGACAGCGAUACUAAUAUCGACUAUAUAGUCAAUGAAAAAGUCUGCAAAAAUGACACAUCGUCUACAGUUUUUGUGAGCAAGAGUUAUCAUUCUGAGCCGAAGGGUUCUGCUAAGCCGGAAUCAGACAUUAACAAAGAACAAAUCGGACAAAAGUCCCCUCAAAAGAAUCUCAAUCAAACACCUGUAAUAUCAGACAAAUUCAAAAAUCAACAAAGAAACUUAUUGCAAAGUCCUUCACAUGCUUCGAAUAUUAAUCCCGCCUAUAGAGAUCAAAGGCAUAUGACUUACCAAAGCAAACCAUAUGAUCAGCAGGAACCACCAGUUAAAAUUCCCAGAUUUGCAAUGGGAAAACUUCCCAAGCAAUCUCCAGAAUAUUAUAGAGCCGCCACAAAAGCACAUGGGAAUUCUUCAGAGCAAGUUAUAGAUUUAUGUGAUAUAAAAAAAGAGCCAGGAACUGAAAUAAUGGAUGUGGAACUUGAUUCAGCUGAUCAUUCUAAUGUACCAGGUCCAGGAGGUUCAUCUGAUGAUUAUGAUCAACAACAACAUGGUGAAGUAUCAAGUCAUGCUACUUUUUCUCCUCAGUAUUUAGAAACUUCUACAGCGAUCCCAGUCUCACUACAUGAUAAUAAACAUAAUAUAAAUCUGGCUCUAGAAAACUUUUCACAGUUCAAUGAUCCCAAUAAUUCAUCAAGUUCAUCAACAUAUGGUUCUGGUGGUGUUGCUGAUUCCCAUCUCCUACAAGAUAGUCAUUUUAAAACUUCACCAUGUGAGGGAUAUGAACAGUGCCCUGUCUGCUUUAAAUUCCUACAAAAAGCCUCCAUUAAACGCCAUAUUAAAGAGACACAUAUAGGAAGUCGAAGAACACAUAGACCAGCAGCUUGUUGUUUUUGUGGCCGUGUUUUUAGCCAGUCUAGUAGUUGUAAUACACACAUGAUUAGAUGCAAACAAAAACCUCAAAACAACUCCGUGAACACAGCAUCAAAUUUCUAGAUUAUUUUCAUUUGGAGACUGGAAAAUACAAUAGCAUGUCAUUAGCAGAUGUAGUUCUCAACAAAGGUCAAGAAAUGCGUUCUGUACGUCCAGUCUCACAGGAAACAUACGAUACUAUCGUUGAUUUAGUGCUAGAAGAAUUUAAUACCCCCGUUAGAUUAAGAACUAACGUACAAAGAAAUGCUUUAAAACAAUUCUGGAGAUGUAAAGGACAAUAUACUGUUGAGAUGAUCAAUGGAGAAAAGCGUUUGUUUUUUAAAGGUGUGUCCGUUCCAAUUAACAAUUCGUUGGUUUCACACAGUUCUUAUGUCACUAUUUAUUGAAAUUGGAGAGCAGACGUCAUGAGUUGCUGAAGGACGAGUUCAAUAUACAAUGUAAUUCUGGGCAAACGUUCCAUCAAGUACCGCGAGAUAUUCGGGCUUUACGACCGGUCUUGCCCGAAUCGUAUGAAACAAUAAUUAGUUUAGUGAUGGGAGAAUUUAAUACACCUGUUAAGCUGCGUACUACACUACAGAAGAACGCAAUUAUUCAGUUUUGGAGAAACAAAGGAAAAUAUUCCGUGGAAGAGGUCGAUGGUGAAAGACGUUUAUUUUUUAACGGUGUGCCAGUUUUGAUCAAUAUUGAUAUGAAUCCACCAUCUUGUUAGUUUGUGACGAAGUCAGUGACUUUCUUGAUAAUUUUACUGGAUAUCUGUUUAUACAAGUCUGUUUUAAAGAUACAUUAUGUAAGAUUUAGAUAAAGAGCUGACCAUUCUUGCUGCAAUAGCUCAAAAAUAGAUAAUGCAAAAUGAAAAUUUUGAUAAUUUCAUUCAAAUUACUUAUUCUGAGCCAAGUUAUCACUGUUAGUAGUUUUGACAAGAUGUGUGCAUUGUGGUAACCAAGGCACUGGUAUAUUCGAGACUUAGCCUCUCUUACCCAUUUUUAAAUUAAAUUUUUAAAUGGCGAACCUUUCUUAUCUAGUUAAAAUCUUAAGUAUUCGAUGGCAUCGAGAGUUGAUUAUGGUCUUGUUUUGUUUAUAACUGCCUAAUUAACAAUUAAGAUAACAUUUAAGGCCAAAAGAAAGACCUGCAGUAGGCAUAUUUAGCUCUUACAUAAUGCAUGUUUAAGGUUGCAAAUUGUGAAUGGAAUAAUCUAUUAUCUUUACUGAGAAGAAUAAACAGUUUACAGAGAAGAAAUAAACAAGUUACCUUUGAGAUAAUUUAGUUUGUGACGAAGUCAGUGACUUUCUUGAUAAUUUUAUUGGUUAUAUGUUUAUACAAAUCAGUUUUUUUAAAUUUGCAAACUGUGAAGAAAUAAUCUACAUAUCAGGCCUGUGUAUGUGUGUGUGGGGGGUCGGGGCAAGUGGAUGCAAUGCGAAGCCAACAACAUAACGUACCCAUAUCAAAGUAUGGGCGCCCCAUAAAGCCAAGUGACAUUGUUUGGCUGCUCCCCCUUGCCCCCCUGCUACCUACGGGCCUGCAUAUAUUUACUGGGAGGUAAGAAACAAUUUACAAUUUUACAAUGAACAAUUUACGAUUUUGUGAGAAGAACAAUUUACGAUUUUGUGAGAAGAACAUAUGAACAAUUUACGAUUUUGUGAGAAGAUAUGAACAAUUUACGAUUUUGUGAGAAUAUAUGAACAAUUUACGAUUUUGUGAGAAAAUAUGAACAAUUUACGAUUUUGUGAGAAGAUAUGAACAAUUUACGAUUUUGUGAGAAAAUAUGAACAAUUUACGAUUUUGUGAGAAUAUAUGAACAAUUUAUGAUUUUGUGAGAAUAUAUGAACAAUUUACGAUUUUGUGAGAAUAUAUGAACAAUUUAUGAUUUUGUGAGAAAAUGUGAACAAUUUAUGAUUUUGUGAGAAAAUGUGAACAAUUUACGAUUUUGUGAGAUGUUAUCAAGCCUUUAUUUUAAUAUUGUGAGUCCAAGUUUUGUGUCGAAAUAUUAUCACAAGACAUUUUGUAUUUUAUAUUACAUAUCUUGGUCAUUUCACUUGAAUCAUUACGAUGGCUGUGUUGUUUUUGUUAUAAAUGAUAUUUUUAUUCAGAUUUGUAUCUGAAUAGGGAUUGGGGAACAGGCAUAACCUAUAUUAAACCUGUCUCCCUGAUGGCUGUGUUGUUUUCCGUAUGGAACUCGGAAGUGGUUUUGUCCGUUCGUCUGUGUGUCUGUCCUUUACACAUUUUAAAACACAAUAACUAUGUUUCUAAUUGAGGUAGAAUGUUUAGAAGUUGUCAAAAUAUUUUUUGAAUAGUUGUCAGUUCAAUGAUGAUCAUUUUCUACUCAGGCUAAGCAGUAGAUCGUAAGCAAUUUGAUUUGUCACGGUUUUGGAAUAAUUGAUUAUUGAGUUGCAGUUAUAAAACCUUGUGUAUAGUUUUUAAUGUGCAUUUUCUGCUUAAAGUAGAGAAAUAAGCAAUUUGAUUUUGUCAUGGUUUUGGAAUAAUGGACAAUUGAGUUGCAGUUAUGAAACCUUGUGUAUAGUUUCAUUGCAUCAAUACCUUAACUGAAUUUUAUGAUGAGCAUUUUCUGCUAAGGCUAAGUAAUAAGCAAUUUGAUUUGUCAGGGUUUUAGAAUAAUGGAUAAUUGAGUUGCAGUUAUGAAACCUUGUGUAUAGUUUCAUUACAUCAAUACCUUGACUUAGUUUUAUGAUGAUCAUUUUCUGCUUAGGCUAAGUAGAGAGAUAAGAUAAGCCAUUUGAUUUGUCAUUCUGUCAUUGAGUCGGCUGGCAUGGUUUUGAUUCCCUGGUUGUAAGUGACAAGGAGUAGGGUCACCUGUCCAUCCUUGUGGGUUUUCUCCAGGUACUCUGGUUUCCUCCCACUGCUAAGGACUCCUACGCGCAAGUGAAUUAUUGAAAUAAAAUUCAACCAUAUGUUAGUCCCGAAAUGACCUAGUUUGUGUUGCAUGGACUCUCUCUCUCUCUCUCUCUCUCUCUCUCUCUCUGAUUUGUCAUUACCUUAAAACAAAAUUACUCUGAUUCUGUGGUAGUUGUGUGUUGUUUCAUCACAUCUAUACCGUAAAAUGAUUUGCGACAAUUUUGGGAUUAAGGCUUUGGACAUCAGCCUCACUGUUGGCUUGAUAUUUAUGUAAUGAGUUUAUUUUGUUUUAAACAGUAUUCAUUUCAAAAGUACAAUUUAAAGACAUAAAAAAAUAGGAUGCAAAAACAAGCCAAGUAGGUUUGAAUUAAUUUGGUUACUUGUGGGUAGUGUGUACCGGUAUGUAAUUAUAGACAAAGCAUAAUAACAGUAUUUUUAGUUAUGGUACAAAUAAGCCAAGUAGGCGUAUAUUAAUUUGGUUAUUUGUGGAUAGUAUGUAUGUGUAUUAUAUGUAGCCUAUAAUUUCAAGUUAUAUAGACAAAGAAUAAAUACAGUAUUUUAGUUAUGGUACAAAUAAAUGAGUUUACUGUGUAAUACGCCUCCUAUAUAUAUAAAUAAAUAACUUAAAAAGUGUAAUAUGUCUACUACAUAUAAAAAUAAAUAACUUAAAAAGUGUAAUAUGUCUACUACAUAUAAAAAUAAAUGAGUUUACUGUGUAAUACGUCUACUACAUAUAUAAAUAAAUGAGUUUACUGUGUAAUAUGUCUGCUGCAUAUAUACAUGUAAAUAAAUGAGUUCACUGUGUAAUACGUCUACUACAUGUACAUAUAUAAAUAAAUGAGUUUACUGUGUAAUACGUCUACUACAUAUAUAAAUGAAUAAGUAGUCUAAUACAUAUAUAAAUAAAUGAGUUCACUGUGUAAUACGUCUACUACACAUAUAAAUGAAUGAGUUUACUGUGUAAUACGCCUCCUAUAUAUAUAAAUAAAUAACUUAAAAAGUGUAAUAUGUCUACUACAUAUAAAAAUAAAUAACUUAAAAAGUGUAAUACGUCUACUACAUAUAUAAAUGAAUGAGUUUACUGUGUAAUACGUCUACUACAUAUAUAAAUGAAUGAGUUUACUGUGUAAUACGUCUACUAGAUAUAUAAAUAAAUGAGUUUACUGUGUAAUACGUCGACUACAUAUAUAAAUAAAUGAGUUUACUGUGUAAUAAAUCUAAUACAUAUAUAAAUGAAUGAGUUUACUGUGUAAUAUGUCUACUACAUAUAUAAAUAAAUAGUUUACUGUGUAAUACGCCUAUACGCUACUACCUACAUAAAUGAUGGGUUUGAAUGAGUUUACUGUGUAAUACGCCUACUACAUAUAUCAAUGAAUGAGUUGUCUACUACAUAUAUAAACAAAUGAGUUUACUGUGUAAUAUGUCUACUACAUAUAUAAAUGUUUACAUGUCGUUUUAUUCUUGAAAUAUCUAUGUGUAAUGAUAUACCGUACAUCCGAUGAAUAUUAAAUUUUGUAUAUUAAUAAAUAACUGACAGUAUUUGAUAAUUUGGUGUUGUGUAUUUCAGAAAAGGAUUUUUUUCAGAUCCUUCGUCAUUUAUAGUUGGGGUAUGAU